UUGUAAUGAUGUUGAUCAAAUGUCUGACCUGAAAUGAGCAUGUAGACGUAUUUAAUACUGAAGAA
ensembl:snoRNA